rnacentral:tRNA from 1 species
GGGGUUGUGGCUUAGCGGUAGAGCACUCACCUAGCACAUGAGAGGCACUGAGUUCGAGCCUCAGCACCA